rnacentral:rRNA from 1 species
AUACGGAGGAUCCGAGCGUUAUCCGGAUUUAUUGGGUUUAAAGGGAGCGUAGGCGGACUAUUAAGUCAGCUGUGAAAGUUUGCGGCUCGACCGUAAAAUUGCAGUUGAUACUGGUCGUCUUGAGUGCAGUAGAGGUAGGCGGAAUUCGUGAUGUAGCGGUGAAAUGCUUAGAUAUCACGAAGAACUCCGAUUGCGAAGGCAGCUUACUGGACUGUAACUGACGCUGAUGCUCGAAAGUGUGGGUAUCAAACAGGAUUAGAUACCCUGGUAGUCCACACAGUAAACGAUGAAUACUCGCUGUUUGCGAUAUACGGCAAGCGGCCAAGCGAAAGCAUUAAGUAUUCCACCUGGGGAGUACGCCGGCAACGGUGAAACUCAAAUGAAUUGACGGGG